GGGGGGUGCUGCUGUGUUCAGCACUUCCUGUGGGGAAAUCAGUCCGCUGGAAAAAGGGGUGUUUCUGUUAUUUUUCCCCUGGCUCUUAGAGGCUGCCCAUCAUAAACACAGGAGCUAAAUGCGUUGCUUAGAGGUCUGGGAGAAGGCUGCGUAUGUGUAAGAUGUUGGCAACAGUUGUGCUUCUGGAGCUUUACGUAAGAUUUUGGUAUCCUGAGCCCACAUCCCUCAAUGCCCUGAAGGAUAAUUUCUUUGAGUAUGAACUCUGACAGCCUUCGUCAAGCAGUAUAGAGAUGGUUUGGGGUCUCUGAUUAGCCUGAUUGACUCCCCCAGAUGUGUUGGUUUCUCCUUUGAAG
ensembl:lncRNA